rnacentral:rRNA from 1 species
GACGAACGCUGGCGGCGUGCCUAAUACAUGCAAGUAGAACGCACAGUUUAUACCGUAGCUUGCUACACCAUAGACUGUGAGUUGCGAACGGGUGAGUAACGCGUAGGUAACCUGCCUGGUAGCGGGGGAUAACUAUUGGAAACGAUAGCUAAUACCGCAUAAUAUUGAUUAUUGCAUGAUAAUUGAUUGAAAGAUGCUAUUGCAUCACUACCAGAUGGACCUGCGUUGUAUUAGCUAGUAGGUGAGGUAACGGCUCACCUAGGCGACGAUACAUAGCCGACCUGAGAGGGUGGUCGGCCACACUGGGACUGAGACACGGCCCAGACGCCUACGGGAGGCAGCAGUAGGGAAUCUUCGGCAAUGGACGAAAGUCUGACCGAGCAACGCCGCGUGAGUGAAGAAGGUUUUCGGAUCGUAAAGCUCUGUUGUAAGAGAAGAACGGGUGUGAGAGUGGAAAGUUCACACUGUGACGGUAUCUUACCAGAAAGGGACGGCUAACUACGUG